rnacentral:misc_RNA from 1 species
AGUCGUAACAAGGUUUCCGUAGGUGAACCUGCGGAAGGAUCAUUAACACUUACUUAUUAAAUAAAUAAAACAAGUUAGAGAUCUUGAGAGAUCAGGAUCUUUGAUUUGUUUUUUUUAAACACCAUUAUGUGAUCUUGUCUUUUUUUCUUUCUUUUUUGAUAUUGAUGUGGAGAUUGGGAGAGUUUUUUGAUCUCUCUCUCUUUUUUAAGAGGGAGAGAAAGAAAGACUUUCGAUUUCUCUCUCUUUUUAUCAAAAAGAAAUUAAAAAAACUCUUUUUUAAUUAUCAUAAUAAAAACACCUUUAUUAUUUUUCAACCUUUAUUAUAAACAAACCUAAACAAAACAUUUAAAAAAAAACAAAAGAGUACAACUCUUAACAAUGGAUAUCUUGGUUCUCGC